GAGUGUGAUAGUGAUAUGGUGGUGACAACUGUCACCCCCAUGGAUUUCCAGAGUUCAUUUGACUGAUCUGGCUGAUGAGGUGGGUCCUUCUUCCCUUACCACUCCAUGUGCCUUACUCUGGAAGCUGUACAAAGGUUGAAGGGGAUGACCUUUCCUGAUAGAGGAGGACCAUACUUGGGUCCAGGGUAUUGGAAUAGCUGCAUUCCCCUAAACAAGUUUUUUUUUUUUUGGUUGGGCCUGGGGCUUGAACUCAGGGCCUCAUGGU
rnacentral:snRNA from 1 species